CCUAGGGAGGCAGCAGUGGGGAAUAUUGCACAAUGGGGGAAACCCUGAUGCAGCAACGCCGCGUGAGUGAAGAAGUAUUUCGGUAUGUAAAGCUCUAUCAGCAGGGAAGAAGAAAGACGGUACCUGACUAAGAAGCCCCGGCUAACUACGUGCCAGCGCCGGCGGUAAUACGGAGGGGGCAGUCGUUAUCCGGAUUUACUGGUUGUAAGGGGGGGGUAGACGGCUGUGCAGGUCUGAAGUGAAAGCCCGUGGCUCAACCGCGGAACUGCUUUGGAAACUGUAUAGCUUGAGUACUGGAGAGGCAGGCGGAAUUCCUAGUGUAGCGGUGAAAUGCGUAGAUAUUAGGAGGAACACCAGUGGCGAAGGCGGCCUGCUGGACAGAAACUGACGUUGAGGCUCGAAAGCGUGGGGAGCAAACAGGAUUAGAUACCCCAGUAGUC
rnacentral:rRNA from 1 species